ensembl:lncRNA
GUUUUCAACUAUCUCUGUGAGGUGUUCACAAUCUCCAAAAACAAAGCCACUACUUGAUACAGAGUUGGCACUUAAUAAAUACUGCUUGAAUGAAUGAAUGUUUUUGGCAGCUUCUGCCAGUGGCAAGGAUGGGAAGCAUGAAAGCGAUCUAAAAUAACAAGAGGACAGAGAGUGAACAGCAGCUGAAUCGUAUCAAAGCCUCUGGACCCGACAGGACCCUAUAACUCUUAUUAACUGAAUUGGAUGGAGCUAAAAUAAAGACAUAAACAUCCUAAAUCAUCCACUGAAAUCUUCUUAAAAGGCACGCCAGGCCUCCCUGUCCAUCACCAUCUUCCGGAG